rnacentral:rRNA from 1 species
AUACAGAGGGUGCAAGCGUUAAUCGGAUUUACUGGGCGUAAAGCGCGCGUAGGUGGCUAAUUAAGUCAAAUGUGAAAUCCCCGAGCUUAACUUGGGAAUUGCAUUCGAUACUGGUUAGCUAGAGUAUGGGAGAGGAUGGUAGAAUUCCAGGUGUAGCGGUGAAAUGCGUAGAGAUCUGGAGGAAUACCGAUGGCGAAGGCAGCCAUCUGGCUUAAUACUGACACUGAGGUGCGAAAGCAUGGGGAGCAAACAGGAUUAGAUCCCCUGGUAGUCCAUUCCGUAAACGAUGUCCCCUAGCCGUUGUGGCCCUUGAGGCUUUAGUGGCGCAGCUAACGCGAUAAGUAGACCGCCUGGGGAGUACGGUCGCAAGACUAAAACUCAAAGGAAUUGACGGGG